rnacentral:rRNA from 1 species
CGGCACAGAGGGAAGCCAGGUGGCGACACCGCGCGGAACCCGAAAGCCGUUCUCAGUUCGGAUCGGAGUCUGCAACCCGACUCCGUGAAGCUGGAUUCGCUAGUAAUCGCGCAUCAGCCAUGGCGCGGUGAAUACGUUCCCGGGCCUUGUACACACCGCCCGUCAAGCCAUGGGAGCCGGGGGUGCCUGAAGUUCGUGACCGCAAGGAGCGACCUAGGGCAAAACUGGUGACUGGGGCUAAGUCGUAACAAGGUAUC